GAUUCCGGCCUCGCUACCAGCUGGGCUGUGUGGGGGAGCGAGGCCUAAUAACCCAGGGGGCGCUGGGCGGGAACGGCGUGGAUCCCUCGGCCUCGCACACCUGGCUCCUAGUCCUCUCGGCCGGGCCGGUGAUCCUCUGGUCGGGGGUGGGGGUGGGGGGGGCUUGCGGCAGCUCACACCUGAGGCCGUUACAAAAGGCCUGCAGCUUAACUCGCUGCAGCUCGGGGGGAUGGAUUGCCUACUAACUGCAGGCGCCGUGGUGCGCCGAGAAAACAGCGAAAACUGGGCCAGCGGAGGCGGGUGGGCCUCCUUGGAGGAGCGCACCUGGGGUGCGGGAGCGCCUCCUGGCAGCCUUGGCCUCGCCUCCCACGCGUGGACGCGCAGGGCCCAGGACACCGCAGCCGCCUACUCCUUUCUGCAGCCCCGGGGUCUGAAGGUAGUUACGAAGGAAAUCUUUUGUAAAAUGUUCCUUUUUCCUCCUCUACAUUUUCUUUCUCUGUCCCUCAGUAAUCCCGGUUCAGGGGUUAGCGUCCCUCACUAAUCCCUGGAUUUAAAAAACAUUCUCCUUUUACACCCAAGCUUCAAUUGGUAGAACAGAGAGACAACUGACGUCGCUUUUGUUUUGCCAGCUUUUGUUUCCGGUGCAUCAGAAACUUUUUGCACCUGAGACAUUAUGAGAUUGUGCCCCAGCCGGUUUCUAAAUUAUUUCUAGGUGAAAAAAUUUUGCAACCUACCUUUGCAGUAAGAAUUCCCCCUACCCCUCCUUUAGAGAAAGUACUUGACAGUGAAUAACAUCCUAUAUUUAUAGACCAAUGAUUGCUACAUUUCAUACCGUGUAGGUUUCCUUCUGAAACCUCAAUCACAUUUGGUUACUGUGGUAGGGGUUUAAAUGUAGCAACUAAUGGGCUGUGGCAGCAGGCAUUUCCCUACCUCUCCUUUUAUUGAACCUUUAAGUGGCAACUGUGCUUCUCUGGGUAAGAGCAAGGCUUUGAGAUUGCGUUCCAUGGGUUAGCUCGGUUCUUUAGCGAAGAUUCAGAGAUCCUGAAUUGCAUCAAGAGAUGCAUUUGUCGGUCUGGGUUUCAGAUAAAAGCAUGAAAUCUCACUGACUUGCUGAACAUUGUGGUUUUGAAUCGGGGCUUUGGAGAUGAAGCUGUGAAACCUCCCAAACCAAAGUUCCUAACAGAAAUCACCAGCUGUGAUUUACAUAUUGGCUUUGCCACAAAGUUUUAGUUCGACUCUGUUUCUGUUGUUAUGGUGUCUUAUGAAUAUUUUCUGAUAUUUAACCCAAAGCCCUCUUGCUGUUUCCAAACUGGUUACCUGAGAUAACUGAGGCACUUGUGCUGCUGUUUGGACGGGAUUACUUCAUGUACUUAAAGGCUGGCCAUACUGCAGACUAAAUACAUCUGGUAUCACCCUCUACUAAGUUUUUAAAAAGUCUUUGCUGAAUGAAAUGCAAAAA
rnacentral:lncRNA from 1 species